GUUCCUUGGGAACAUCUGAUAAAGAAAAGAUUAGCAUGACCACUGCGCAAAUAUGACAUACACAAAUCUAAAAUAAUCUAAAAUUUU
rnacentral:snRNA from 2 species